AUCAAUCCUAAAUGAUUAUUACACCAAAGCUACUGAGGACCCCAAAACCCUAAAACAAGAAGACCAGAUGGUCAAAGAAAACUUUGAAACUCCUUAAACUUCAUUUAUCAAUCUUAAAAGGUUUACCCUCUUUCUUAUCCUCAAAGUUCAAGAUACAAUUAAAAUCACCAAUAGGAAGGAAAGGCAAGCAGAAAGAUACAAUAGCCCUAACACCCA
rnacentral:lncRNA from 1 species